UNAUGAAAGCCGUUUGUACCCGAAAGUCACCGUGCUAACUCGCAAGAGAGGCAGGUGCCGAAGGUAUGGAUGGUGAUUGGGAUG
rnacentral:rRNA from 1 species